rnacentral:piRNA from 1 species
UAACACGUCCAUCUUCAAGCU